GGGGAUGAUCGGUUUCGACAUUGCCUGUACAACUGUGAGAAGCGGGUCGAGGAUGCAGGGUUAACUCGUAAACGAUCUCUGCAAAAAAUAAUUGCGAAAACUAACCGCAAUGACUUCGCCCUCGCUGCCUAAGCGAGCGCACUAAAGAAGUCCGUCAGUCCGGGAAUACUCUCUACCCGGGUUCUGGCGCAAUCUAGAGAGCUUGCUUCUGCGUUACGCCUGUGGGCGCAGAGGGACUUGCACUCGGGCUGGGCUCGUCGAAUCAGAUGCCAAUAGCAAGAUUCGGAGCCAAGUAGAACGUUUAAUUGGAUACACCCGUAGAAGGCACACGAACACAGCAGUGGACGGGGGUUCAAUUCCCCCCAUCUCCACAC
rnacentral:tmRNA from 1 species